AUGGCAAAAACAUUACAACAGGGAAGGAAAAAUAAUUACAGUAGAGGAGAAAGAACAGGAGGACUCAACCGUCAUCGCCGCUCCGAAACCCUCAUUCUCGCCAUCCUCCGUUCACCUCCUUCGAUCCCCGGAACUCCACCUCCACCUUCCGAACAUUCACAUCGCACGACGCCUCCCUUUCUCCGCUGA